AACGCACGAGACCUGCGGACCUGCGGAGGGAUCAUUAUUGAAUAAAUCUGGCGCUGGGUUGUAGCUGGCUCUCCGGAGCAUGUGCACACCUUCGUCACCUUUAUCUUUCCACCUGUGCACCCACUGUAGUCCUGGAUCCCUCUCGCCGAAAGGCGGAUGCAGAGCCUGCUGUGACUUUGGAAACAAAGGCCGGCUUGCUCUGAAUUUCCAGGUCUACGAUCUUUACACACCCCUAAACGA
rnacentral:misc_RNA from 1 species